rnacentral:rRNA from 1 species
GACGAACGCUGGCGGCGUGCCUAACACAUGCAAGUCGAACGGAGAAUUAGCAAUAAUUCUUAGUGGCGAACGGGUGAGUAACGCGUAGACAACCUGCCCUUUAGAUGGGGACAACAGAUCGAAAGGUCUGCUAAUACCGAAUAUUGUUUGAGAAACGUAUGUUUCACAAAAUAAAGAUGGCCUCUAUUUAUAAGCUAUCGCUAAAGAAUGGGUCUACGUCUGAUUAGCUAGUUGGUGAGAUAAAAGCUCACCAAGGCAACGAUCAGGAGCCGGUCUGAGAGGAUGAACGGCCACACUGGGACUGAGACACGGCCCAGACUCCUACGGGAGGCAGCAGUGGGGAAUCUUCCGCAAUGGACGAAAGUCUGACGGAGCAACGCCGCGUGAGUGAUGAAGGUUUUCGGAUCGUAAAACUCUGUUGUUAAGGACGAAUGUAUAGAUUGUGAAUAAUGGUUUAUAAUGACGGUACUUAACGAGGAAGCCACGGCUAACUACGUGCCAGCCGCCGCAGUAA